rnacentral:rRNA from 1 species
UACAUGGGGUGCAAACGUUGCUCGGAAUUAUUGGGCGUAAAGCGCACGUAGGCGGUCCGUUAAGUCGGAUGUGAAAGCCCCCGGCUCAACCGGGGAAGUGCAUCCGAAACUGGCGGGCUAGAGUACGAAAGAGGGUCGCGGAAUUCCCGGUGUAGAGAUGAAAUUCGUAGAUAUCGGGAGGAACACCGGUGGCGAAGGCGGCGACCUGGGUCGAUACUGACGCUGAGGUGCGAAAGCGUGGGGAGCAAACAGG